UCAGACGAUGCGUCAUGCAUAUCAAUAAGCGGAGGAAAAGAAACUAACUAGGAUUCCCUCAGUAACGGCGAGUGAAGCGGGAAGAGCUCAAAUUUGAAAUCUUAAAGGGUUUCCCUUGACGAAUUGUAGUUUAAAGAAGUGUUUUCUGUUGGAGUUUUGGUAAAAGUUCUUUGGAAUAGGACAUCAUAGAGGGUGAGAAUCCCGUAUUUGACCAUUAUUUCCAGCUUUGUGAUACACUUUCAAAGAGUCGGAUUGUUUGGGAAUGCAGUCCAACAUGGGUGGUAAAUUUCAUCUAAAGCUAAAUAUUGGCGAGAGACCGAUAGCGAACAAGUACCGUGAGGGAAAGAUGAAAAGAACUUUGAAAAGAGAGUUAAACAGUACGUGAAAUUGUCAAAAGGGAAGCGUUUGACACCAGUGUUGUUUUCUCGAAAAUCAAUUAAAAAAGGCAGGAUUUUGUGUUGUAUUGACUUUAUCAGCUUUCUGCACUCUUUUCUUGUCUUUUUUUAAUGCACUUUUCGUUUAACAAGUCAACAUCAAUUUCUUUUGUUGUAAAAGGGUCAUUGGAAGGUGGCUUUCUUUUCGGAGAAAGUGUUUAUAGCCUUUGGCCUCUGCAAUCGGAGAGAUUGAGGUCUGCAGCGUAGAUCCUUCGGGGCUAGAUACAUUUGUGCUAAGUUAUAGCCUUUCAUAGACAACUUGUUGACUAUGAUCAGUCAUGUAGCUUACUCGCUUAUGCUAUUUUACCUACGCUUAGGAUGUUGAUCUACAGAGCGAGAGU
rnacentral:rRNA from 1 species